rnacentral:lncRNA from 1 species
UACGAGUGUUGUCGUCCCAGCGAGAUCCACAACCAACCGGUGUUGCAAGGUCGGCGGCCAACCCCAACUUGCCUGUUGCAACUUGCAAGGUGUCAUCCCACCACUGGUUCGUCGCCGGAGUGGGAGAGGGCAUGGGGUGGUUGUCGUUCCGCUCGGAGCAAUCUGGGGACUCGUAUUCGAAGGUUUGCUGAAUUUAAGGAAGAAAGAAGAAAGAAUGAGUGGGAGACGAUGGAGAUGCAGAGGGGAUAAGGCUUAUCAGGUCCACGCAGGACACGCGUCGGUAGGA